rnacentral:rRNA from 1 species
UACGUAGGGUGCGAGCGUUGUCCGGAAUUAUUGGGCGUAAAGAGCUUGUAAGCGGUCUGUCGCGUCUGCUGUGAAAAUCCGGGGCUCAACCCCGGACUUGCAGUGGGUACGGGCAGACUAGAGUGUGGUAGGGGAGACUGGAAUUCCUGGUGUAGCGGUGAAAUGCGCAGAUAUCAGGAGGAACACCGAUGGCGAAGGCAGGUCUCUGGGCCACUACUGACGCUGAGAAGCGAAAGCAUGGGGAGCGAACAGG